GGCUUCUCCUUCGGGAGCAGAGUGACAGGUGGUGCAUGGUUGUCGUCAGCUCGUGUCGUGAGAUGUUGGGUUAAGUCCCGCAACGAGCGCAACCCUUGAUCUUAGUUGCCAUCAUUAAGUUGGGCACUCUAAGGUGACUGCCGGUGACAAACCGGAGGAAGGUGGGGAUGACGUCAAAUCAUCAUGCCCCUUAUGACCUGGGCUACACACGUGCUACAAUGGACGGUACAAAGAGCUGCAAGACCGCGAGGUGGAGCUAAUCUCAUAAAACCGUUCUCAGUUCGGAUUGUAGGCUGCAACUCGCCUACAUGAAGCUGGAAUCGCUAGUAAUCGCGGAUCAGCAUGCCGCGGUGAAUACGUUCCCGGGUCUUG
rnacentral:rRNA from 1 species